AACGAACGCUGGCGGCAGGCCUAAAACAUGCAAGUCGAACGAACCUUCGGGUUAGUGGCGCACGGGUGAGUAACGCGUGGGAAUGUACCUUUUGGUGCGGAAUAACGUAGGGAAACUUACGCUAAUACCGCAUAAUAUCUUCGGAUCAAAGAUUUAUCGCCAAGAGAUCAGCCCGCGUUAGAUUAGGUAGUUGGUAGGGUAAUGGCCUACCAAGCCUACGAUCUAUAGCUGGUCUGAGAGGAUGAUCAGCCACACUGGAACUGAGACACGGUCCAGACUCCUACGGGAGGCAGCAGUGGGGAAUUUUGGACAAUGGACGCAAGUCUGAUGCAGCAACGCCGCGUGAGGGACGAAGGCCUUCGGGUUGUAAACCUCUUUUAGCAGGGAAGAAGCGAAAGUGACGGUACCUGCAGAAAAGCACCGGCUAACUACGUG
rnacentral:rRNA from 1 species